UACGGAGGGGGCUAGCGUUGUUCGGAAUUACUGGGCGUAAAGCGUACGUAGGCGGUUAUUCAAGUCAGAGGUGAAAGCCUGGAGCUCAACUCCAGAACGGCCUUUGAAACUAGAUCGCUAGAAUUAUGGAGAGGUAAGUGGAAUUCCGAGUGUAGAGGUGAAAUUCGUAGAUAUUCGGAAGAACACCAGUGGCGAAGGCGUCUCACUGGACAAGUAUUGACGCUGAGGUACGAAAGCGUGGGGAGCAAACAGG
rnacentral:rRNA from 1 species